UACGGAGGAUCCAAGCGUUAUCCGGAAUCAUUGGGUUUAAAGGGUCCGUAGGCGGUCUUAUAAGUCAGUGGUGAAAUCUCCCCGCUCAACGGGGAAACGGCCAUUGAUACUGUAGGACUUGAAUUAUUAGGAAGUAACUGGAAUAUGUAGUGUAGCGGUGAAAUGCUUAGAGAUUACAUGGAAUACCAAUUGCGAAGGCAGGUACUACUAAUGGAUUGACGCUGAUGACGAAAGCGUGGGUAGCGAACAGG
rnacentral:rRNA from 1 species